rnacentral:misc_RNA from 1 species
AAGUCGUAACAAGGUUUCCGUAGGUGAGCCUGCGGAAGGAUCAUUAUUGAACUAAGUCGGAUUCGAUGCUGGCCCUUAACCCGGGCAUGUGCUCGUCCUUCAUUUUUCUAACCUUCUUUAUGUGCACAUUUGUAUGCCCCUGAGUAACGAGCGCCUCUCGCAGCAAUGCGGUUUGCUUGGGACUGACGGCCUGGUCGUCUUUCCUGCAAUGCUCUCUGGGGGCUACGUUUUUAUAUACAAGUCAGUUAUAGAAUGUCUUUUAAUGACUGUUGCCUAGCGCAUGGUCUUAAACAAUUACAACUUUCAGCAACGGAUCUCUUGGCUCUCCCAUCGAUGAAGAACGCAGCGAAAUGCGAUAAGUAAUGUGAAUUGCAGAAUUCAGUGAAUCAUCGAAUCUUUGAACGCACCUUGCGCCCUUUGGUAUUCCGAAGGGCAUGCCUGUUUGAGUGUCAUUAAAUUAUCAACCUUGCUCGCUUUUACCGGCUUGAGCUGAGGCUUGGACGUGGGGGGUUUUUGCUGGCUUCCUUCAGUGGAUGGUCUGCUCCCCUUAAAUUCAUUAGCGGGAUCUCUUGUGGACCGUCACUUGGUGUGAUAAUUAUCUAUGCCGUUUGACCUUGAAGCAAAUUUAUGGGACCCUGCUUAUAACCGUCUCUUACCGGGACAAUUUAAUAACAUCUUGACCUCAAAUCAGGUAGGACUACCCGCUGAACUUAAGCAUAUCAAUAAGCGGAGGAAAAGAAACUAACAAGGAUUCCCCUAGUAACUGCGAGUGAAGCGGGAAAAGCUCAAAUUUAAAAUCUGGCGGUCCUUGUGGCCGUCCGAGUUGUAAUUUAGAGAA